rnacentral:rRNA from 1 species
AUUGAACGCUGGCGGCAGGCCUAACACAUGCAAGUCGAGCGAGCGGCGGACGGGUGAGUAAUGUAUGGGGAACUGCCCGAUGGAGGGGGAUAACUACUGGAAACGGUAGCUAAUACCGCAUACCAUCAGAUGUGCCCAGAUGGGAUUAGCUAGUAGGUGGGGUAAUGGCUCACCUAGGCGACGAUCCCUAGCUGGUCUGAGAGGAUGACCAGCCACACUGGAACUGAGACACGGCCCAGACUCCUACGGGAGGCAGCAGUGGGGAAUAUUGCACAAUGGGCGCAAGCCUGAUACAGCCAUGCCGCGUGUGUGAAGAAGGCCUUAGGGUUGUAAAGUACUUUCAGCGGGGAGGCGUUACCCGCAGAAGAAGCACCGGCUAACUCCGUGCCAGCAGCCGCGGUAAUUC